UCGGGAAUUUUGCGCAAUGGACGAAAGUCUGACGCAGCAACGCCGCGUGAGGGAUGAAGGCCUUCGGGUUGUAAACCUCUUUUCUCAGGGACGAUAAUGACGGUACCUGAGGAAUAAGCCACGGCUAACUACGUGCCAGCAGCCGCGGUAAUACGUAGGUGGCGAGCGUUGUCCGGAUUUACUGGGCGUAAAGAGCGCGCAGGCGGUCGUACAAGUCGCGUGUGAAAGCCCCCGGCUCAACUGGGGAGGGUCACGCGAUACUGUUCGACUCGAAGGCAGGAGAGGGAAGUGGAAUUCCCGGUGUAGUGGUGAAAUGCGUAGAUAUCGGGAGGAACACCAGUGGCGAAGGCGACUUCCUGGCCUGUUCUUGACGCUGAGGCGCGAAAGCUAGGGUAGCAAACGGGAUUAGAUACCCCGGUAGUCCUAGCCGUAAACGAUGGACACUAGGUGUUGGUGGUAUCAACCCCGCAGUGCCGUAGCUAACGCAUUAAGUGUCCCGCC
rnacentral:rRNA from 1 species